UUCCCGAUUCCCCUUAUCUCUCCCACCUCGCCCUUUAUCCCUCCCACCUCGCCGCCACCCACCGCCUCCUCUUCCUUCUCCUACCCACCUCGCCACCGGCCCUCCCCCUCCUCUUCACCCACGCAGCUCCAGAGGCUGCAGUAUCCGCAGCAUCUCCUACCCGCCCAUCCCUCUCGCCUCCCAUUUCUCUCUUCACGCUGCUCCUCGCUGCGCCACCGGCGACGGCUGAUUCAGGCGACGCUCGGCGAAUCCAGCCACCGCGAAGAACAACCCGAGCUCUUCUCGCACCGCGGCGUCCUCCCAUCCGACUAGAUCCGGCGCUGGAAGCCACCAAAGCCCAUCCGCGACCCCCCCCCAUGGCUAGGGUUUCGAGCAUAGGCGACGGCGCCGGUUGCCAUGUCGUCCUCCUCUCGUCCAUUGAGUGCACCCCUCCCUUGGCUUCAUCAUCUGUCUCCCCCUGUCUAUAACAUCUUCUCUUCUCAUGUAGAUGUGGAGGGAGGAACGGCCAGUGGACAACCUUGCUGCUGCUCGGGAUGAAGGAGACAUGGAGCCAGUGCAGGUUGAUGCAGAGCUAUGAGGCUUGGUCGCUUCGAUGCGGUCCUGGAGGCAUAAAACGCACAUGAUGUUCACAAGCAUGGUGGCAGUAAGGUGCAGAUGGAUCUAACUAAUGCUACCAAAUUGCGUGUAGAUCUGUUGACCGGUUCCUAAUGAACUCCAAAAUAGAGAAGCGCCAUGAUGUACCAUGGCUUGAGGAGAUGCAUAUGUCGGCAUUUUUUUGUGUAUUGCUGGGACAUGGUUUGCAUCACUACAUUCUAAGAUUCAAAAGAUAUAUGGAUGAUUAUAUGGGUGCGUGGCAAGUAUACUGCAAUGAUGAUGAUGUUCCAGUUCAUGAUGAUGAUGACGAUGGAUGCUUUUGGUUUUGUUAAGUACUAGGGACAUUGUUGAUGUUGCUAGAUGAUGUUCCUCAGUUAUGAUUUAGUUUAGUUGUAGGGAUGCUGAUGGAUUCUUCCAGUUAAAAGUUGUAGGGAUGCUGAUGGAUUCUUCCAGUUAAAGUUUCACUUCGCUGUGAAGAAAAUAUUUAGAUUAUGCAACAUAUUUGGAUGAUGUUCCUCAUGUAAUAUACACUACUGUAAUCCAAAAGUUUUAUCCAAUAAAUGAUUUCUUCCCCUCCUAA